UGCCUGGCUGGAGCCCAGUGCUCCCGGCUCGGAGUCCCCCUCCGACUGCUGGAGUGUCCCUGCCUCCCCCGACCUAUCCGGAGACCAUCAGCAUCCCUGUGCAGACACUGUGCAUGCAGGUGUGAUGCCAGAUCUUCUGGAGCUGUGUCCUGGGAUCAAGUUCCUCAGCAACCCAAUAGCUCAGGUUUUCUUCUGUAUUGGAAAAAGCUCCAUGAAGAUGAUCUCAUGGACAUCUCUGCUUUUCAGCUCUCUCUAAAACAUGAGCAACCCGCUCGGUCUUCAUUCAGCUGAGAAACGCAGCCUCAGCGGAGAAGGGAACUCGGUCUGGAUUUUGGCGAGGACACGAUACGGUCACUCAGUGAGAGCCCCCCUGCAGCUCCGAUCCCCCUGUUGCAGAACCAAGGAUGGAAGCAGAGAUUUUGCAGUGCAAGCCCUGGGACAGCCUGCCCAUCCAGCAGCAAAACAAGAGUUCUCAUGCCACAGAUGCUGUUUGCUAAAAGCCUCGUAGUGAAGCCAAUCCCGAGUCCUGCUUAGAAAGAUAGGACUCAACUGCUUGCUUGAAUUUUUUGGUUCUAUCAUUUCAUAGAAAUGUGUCCAUUGGGCGGAUUGUCCACGUCUUCCAGCCUGUAGCAGAUCCCUGCGAGGCAGAAUGGACCUUUGGCUGGCGAAAGCCUUUAUUUGCUCCAUGCGCAGUGCUCUCACUUCCACUUGGUGCUCCAUAAACGCGGUGCUUCCAGCUUGGCCUGAAAGGCUCCAGUUCUCCACAUUAGGUGGGUUGGGUGAUGCUGAAGUAGACGUAGGUGUUAAGCCACCCUGAGCACCGAGCCCAGUGGCAGUGUCCCACAGCAGCAAUGCGCGUGGUGGUGGUGGCAGCAGAGGGCAUCACGAUGCUACCCAGCUCCAGCAUCUGCACUGCGUCUCAACGAGCAGAUGGAGCAUGGAUUGGCCCCAAACCCGCUUGCUUGGUCUUGAGCAUUUCCAGGGAGGACUCUGUAUGCACUCAGCUGCUCAGCUUCUGCCUGCUUGCCAGUAUAAUCUGCAGAGUGACAAAUCAGGCUUGCAUCACACUGAGCAGGCUUUCCUCUUGGUUUAAAUAUGUUCAUUUCUGAGAAAACCUGGGUGAAGUCUGCUUUUUGCAUUUUAAAAAAAAAAAGGAAAUUCACUGGAAAAAUGUGCAUAUUGAGAGAUGCAAAAGAUGUUCAAGCAAUGCACAUAUCAUGGUUUCAGGCAGACUGAGCAGUGUGACUGAAUUCAAUCACUGAGAGUAUCAGUUUUGCUUUUUAAUUGAUUUUAAAUUGUAUAUUUAUAUUAAACAAUUUGGAGUAAAAAAAAAAAAUCUUUCCUAGAUAGCUUCCUUAUAGAUAUCUUCCUUUGUUUUCUCUCCUGAAUCAGCAGGUUGCUAUGUUCUGCUGAAAAUCAGAGUAGUUGUGUGACAACAACUAGACAUUUUUAGCAUGAUAAACCAAUGCUUUCUCAUAAUGCUGCAAAAAUAUAAAUAAAUAGAUUUGGGGACAAUUUGUCCAACAAGGAUCUAGAGCACAGAGGGGAUUCUGGGGUCAUCUUCAAAGUGUAUGCUGAUGUUUUAAAAAUGACCUAUGAACGUCUCUCUAGUUUGUUAAGGGUCUGGAGGGAUUUUCAAUAUGAUAGACUUGGGUUAUUAAAUUACUGCUGGAAAUGUGGAGUUGACCUCCAGUGGCAAAUAUUUCUAUGAAAAACAUUGGCAAACUUUUUGUUUGAUGAACUUUCCUCUAUUGUGUUUCUUUUCUAAAAUCAAAACAAACAAUAGAAAGAUUUUGGAUGAGGGAGGAAAACAAAAUAAGUGUAUUCUGUUGCCUUUUCUGAUAAGAAAUGCAAAACUGCUUAACUACUAACAAACGUUGGAUACACCUGCUUUUAGCAGAUACACUAAGUCAAAGAUGUCUCAAACUUACGUGUGAAAUGAGACAAAGUCACCACCUACUUUCUGCUGAUUUUGAUUAGAGCUGGUCAGAAAUGUUCCACGAUAGCAAAGUUUCAUUGUGCAACGUUGAUUAAUGGAAACGUGCCACUUUCAGUAACGCCAUUAUGAACGGAGGAGAUUCCUCACGACCGACUUUCUGCUCAAGAAGACAAAGUGAGUGGCAAGCGGGGAGAUGGAGAGGCAGGCGUCCAGAAGUUGCAACACUUCUCUGAAAUAUAGGAGGCCUCGUUCUGCUUGGUUUGGAGAUCUGAACCAGGAUUUCCAUGUCCCAGCUGAGCGUCCUGACUACUAGAUUAUGCUGACAGGCUCUCUAAUCCGGUGAAUACUUCACUGUUUAUACGAAUUAAGGACUUCCAGCAAGAGGGAGCAAAAAAGACUGUAAUGAGCAGAAAAAGGACUUGAACUUGAGCCUCUUGCAUUUAGAUGAGUGCUUGCAAAUGUAUUUUUAAAAUGUAAAAGACACUUCUGAUUUUGACCAUUCAUUAGCCCAGCCCAUAGAGAGUAGACAAUGGAUUUCCCAGAGCUUGCAGGCUGUUUAGGGAGGAUUUUAAUUUAGCCUGACAGUGAUGGCCUCAGAUUUUAAGGCAUUUUCCUUUGUGUUCUCUAGAAGACCUCUUAUAUUUCCAGAAUCAGGGCAAUAGAAGAAAAUCUUUACAGACUUUGUUGCCCUAGGGCACGUGACACGUACUUUAUAUCAAUAUCCUGUGACCAGCUCCUCAUCUGAUCUGCUGGCCAUCUCCAGUUGUUCUUAAACUUGGCCCAACCCUCUUGGUGGAUAUUGAUCCUGUAACCAGCUCUGGAUCUCUUGGGUAUGCUUCCAAGUGAAAUCCUGUAUCUGGCACCUUUCCUGGGCAGUUGGCCCCAAAGUACAGCCCUUUAAACCCAAAACUUCAUGUUGGAGUAGUUAUAGACCUCCAGCUGUUUUGUGACAGCUCAUUAACCCAAUAAGAAAAAAUGUGAUAGAAAAACAAGAAACGCUGGCUUAGCAGAGAUAAGUUUUAAGCACAGGAAAUGUUAUUUUUAAACAGCUUGAGAGGGUUAAAUCAACAAAAUCCUAAGCUCCUCCCCAUGGAUCCCAUUCACAUCUUCUUGGAAGCACAAGGUCUGGACGACGUCCCCAGGCCGGGUAGCACAUCCUGUUUCCUCGGCUGUGACUUCUUGGACAUGCCAGUGGAGCGGCUGUUAGCAGCUUGGCCCUCUUUCACACUUUGUUUCUGGUGUUAUGACUCAGUCCACAAUGAAACCCAAACUUUUAACUGCUCUGGUGUAUGUAGGAAUAGUCUGUCCACUAGGUAUCAAGCCCUGCAAAAAAAAAAAGACUUGUUAGAUAUUUCACUUUAGCAUGGUGAAAGAAAACUGGAAGGUCAGACCAUGAAAUACAGAUUACUAUUACUAUUGCAAGGUAAAAUAAAACUUCAGGAAAAAGAUACCAAGGUCUAAAAAGCAAAGCCAAGAUCAUUGUCAUCUGCACUAUAUCUCCUAGUGCUGGGAAUUACUAGUGAAUUGAGUUAAUUCUAAAGGUAAAAUAACUAAAAGUGGCACAGGUCAGGUCCCUGAGUCUUGAUGCUCCUGAUGUUUGGGAAGCAGAAUUGCAUCCAUGUCAUGCACCCAAAGCCCAUUUCUUUGCAGUGAGACAAUCAACACUUUUGUGGACAUAAACAAAAAGCUAAAGCAAAGUACUACUGUUUCACAGAUGCAAGCAGAAUAUAUUGACACGUACAGGGCACCGUGUUUUGCAGUCAUUUAAUCGCUUUCUGCUCACCACAGGAAAACAUGCAAUUUGCUCGUUGUUCUGUGAUGUGCUCCAUAGCACGAGGAGGAAUGAUCACUGAUAAAAUGGUAAUAACCAGGGGGAGUGCAGCUCCGCUUUCUCGCUUCAGCAUGCCAAGA